GAUGAAGAACGCAGCGAAAUGCGAUAAGUAAUGCGAAUUGCAGAAUUCCAGUGAGUCAUCGAAUCUUUGAACGCACAUUGCGCCCUUUGGUAUUCCGAAGGGCAUGCCUGUUCGAGCGUCAUUAUCACCCCUCAAGCCCCGUGCUUGGUGUUGGACGGUCGGUCGAAGGGUUUUGCCCCGCGACCCCUCCUAAAGACAACGACGGCGGCCUGUGGUUCCCCCGGUACACUGAGCUUUUCACCGAGCACGUACCGGACGAGGGCGCCCAGGACCCGGUCCUCUCCUCUCGCGAGGAACUAUUUUAUCAAGGUUGACCUCGGAUCAGGUAGGAAUACGCGCUGAACUUAAGCAUAUCAAUAAGCGGAGGA
rnacentral:misc_RNA from 1 species